AAAAAAAAAAAAAAAAAGUCUCUACAAGACAAAAAGAUCUUCAACAAGACGUUUGUUCUUUCCAGAUAAAAAAAUUACAAUUUGGUUAUUCCCUCUGGGUGCCAGUGAGAUGUCUCAGUAGACAAACCUGCUACUGGGCCUGCUGAUGGCCUGAACUCACUUCCUGGGACCCACAAGGUAGAGGGAGAAACAACACCCAAAGCUGUCCGGUGUACUAUGGUAAGUACUUUACCAAUGAGCUACAUGCCCGGUCUCCUUGAAUGUAUAGAAGACAGAGAGAAUAAAUUACAAAUCUCCUGUGCCCUAAGAAUCACAGCAAACACAUUAAAGACUCGAGUCUUUCACUGCCAAUCUCAACCUGGACUUGACACAGUCAUCUCCUACCAGUCUUCUUGGCGGUUUUAUGAGGGCUGCAGUCAAUGCUGACUUGGGUGAAGUCUUCAAUGAGCCGCAUAGCUCCCAUCCAGUUACAAGGCUGGAAUAAGGUCUGGAACCUGGGGUUGAACUGCUGGUGAAGGGCAAUGGAAUUCUCAGCAAAGGUGCCCAGCU